CCUACGGGAGGCAGCAGUGGGGAAUAUUGCACAAUGGGGGAAACCCUGAUGCAGCGACGCCGCGUGAGCGAUGAAGUAUUUCGGUAUGUAACGCUCCAUCAGUAGGGAAGAAAAUGACGGUACCUGACUAAGAAGCCCCGGCUAACUACGUGCCAGCAGCCGCGGUAAUCCGUAGGGGGCAAGCGUUAUCCGGAUGUACUGGGUGUAAAGGGAGCGUAGGCGGGUGUGCAGGCCAGAUGUGAAAGUCCGGGGCUCAACACCGGGGCUGCAUUUGAAACUGUGUGACUAGAGUGUCGGAGAGGCAGGCGGAAUGUCUAGUGUAGCGGUGAAAUGCGUAGAUAUUAGGCGGAACACCAGUGGCGAAGGCAGUCUGCUAGACAGCAACUGACGCUGAGGCGCGAAAGCGUGGGGAGCAAACAGGAUUAGAUACCCGAGUAGUC
rnacentral:rRNA from 1 species